rnacentral:lncRNA from 1 species
GGGGUGGAGGAGGUUGAGGAGGUUGGAGGAGGUUGGGAUGGGUUGGAGGACCUCAACCUUUGAGAACAUGGCUUGGAGGACCUCGAGGAGGUUGGAGGACAUGGGUUGGAGGAGGUCGAGGAGGUUGAAGGACAUGGGGAUGGGUUGGAGGACCUCAACCUUUGAGGACAUGGCUUGGAGGACAUCAAGGAGCUUUGAGGACAUGGGUUGGAAGAGUUCUUGGAGGAUGGAGGAGGUGGGGAUGGGUUGGAGGACCUGGAGGACGUUGGAGGAUGUGGGGUGGAGGAGGUUGAGGAGGUUGAAGGACAUGAGCAUGGGUUGGAGGACCUCAAGGUUUGAGAACAUGGCUUGGAGGACCUCAAAGAGGUUGGAGGACAAGAGUUGGAGAAGGUUGAGGAGGUUGGAGGAGGUUUGGAUGAGGUGGAGGACGUGAAGGUUGGAGGAUGUGGGGUGGAGGACCUCAAGGAGGUUGAAGGAGGUGGGGUGGAGGAGGUCAAUGAGGUUGGAGGACAUGGGGAUGGGUUGGAGGGCCUCGAGGAGGUUGGAGGACAAGAGGUGGAGGAGGUUGGAGGAGGUUGGGAUGGGUUGGAGGACCUCAAGUGUUGAGAACAUGGCUUGGAGGACCUCAACGGGGGUUGAGGACAUGGGUUGGAGGAGGUUGGAGAAGGUUGGGAUGGGUUGGAGGACCUCAACCUUUGAGAACAUGGCUUGGAGAACCUCGAAGAGGUUGGAGGAGAAGAGUUGGAGGAGGUUGAGGAGGUUGGAGGAGGUUGGGAUGGGUUGGAGGACCUCGAGGUUGGAGGACAUGGCUUGGAGGACCUCAAGGAGGUUGGAGGAGAAGAGUUGGAGGACCUCCAGGAGGUUUGGGGACACAAAUUUGGGGACAUUUGGGACAUUUGGGGACAUGGGGAGGGGUUUGAGGACCUCGAGGAGGUUUGGGGACACAAAUUUGGGGACAUUUGGGGACACGGGGACAAAUCGGAGGUCCUCGAGGUUUGGGGACAUGAAUUUGGGGUCGUUUGGGACAUUUGGGGACACGAAUUUGGGGACAUUUGGGGACACGAAUUUGGGGACGUUUGGGGACACGAAUUUGGGGUCGUUUGGGACAUUUGGGGACACGAAUUUGGGGACAUUGAGGUUCGGGACUUUUGGGACGUUUGGGGACACGAAUUUGGGGACAUUUGGGGACACGAAUUUGGGGACGUUUGGGGACACGAAUUUGGGGUCGUUUGGGACAUUUGGGGACACGAAUUUGGGGACGUUUGGGGACAGCGGCCCCCCGGGGCCAGCCGGGGCUUUUUGGGUGGUUUUGGGGCCCCCAAGGGGGGAUUUGGGGAAAUUUGGGGACGUUUGGUGGCCCGGGGGGGACGCGGGGACGUCACCGGGGGCCGCGGGGUGGCCGCGUCUUCUUCUGGGGGGACCUGCGGGGGAAGGAGGGCAAGGAUGGUCCCAAAUUGCCCCAAAAUUGCCCCAAAAUGGUCCCAAAAACCCAAAAUCCCAAAAUAUAAGCCCAAAAGCACCCAAAAUGGCCCUAAAACCACCCAAAAUGGCCCCAAAACCACCCAAAAUGGCCCCCAAACCACCCUAAAUGUCCCCCAAACCCACCCAAAUGGUCCCAAAUGGCCCCAAAAUGACCCCAAAAUGGUCCCAAAAACCCCAAAUCCCAAAAUAUAACCCCAAAAGCACCCAAAAUGGCCCCCAAACCCACCAAAUGUCCCCCCAAAACCACCAAAAUGGCCCCAAAUGGCCCCAAAUGUCCCCAGUGUCNNNNNNNNNNAAAUCCCAAAAUAUCCCCCAAAAGCACCCAAAAUGGCCCCAAAAGCACCCAAAAUGGCCCCCCAAACACCCAAAAUGGCCCCAAAACCACCCUAAAUGUCCCCCAAACCCACCCAAAUGGUCCCAAAUGGCCCCAAAAUGGCCCCAAAAUGGUCCCAAAAACCCAAAAUCCCAAAAUAUCCCCCAAAAGCACCCAAAAUGGCCCCAAAAGCACCCAAAAUGGCCCCCCAAACACCCAAAAUGGCCCCAAAACCACCCUAAAUGUCCCCCAAACCCACCCAAAUGGUCCCAAAUGGCCCCAAAUAAAUGACCCCAAAUGUCCCCAAAUGUCCCCAGUGUCCCCAAAAACCCCA